GCAGACUUGUCCCCUUGUCUCUCCUUGUUCCACUCACCCCUCCCCCACAGGAACCGUUCGUUGUGGGUCGCGGGCCGACUCAUUAAAACAUCAGUGAGUUAUUUGCAGUUCACCAGGAAUGGUGAUCUUUUGGGCAACAGGUGAUGGUGAUUAAACAUCUGGGAGCAGGAAGGACUGAACUGGCAACUGGAAACCCAAAAGAAGCUUCCAUUCUGUCUAAAUUAAGUCUUUUGAUAAUGAUUGCAGACGUGAUGUGAAA